rnacentral:rRNA from 1 species
AACGAACGCUGGCGGCAUGCCUAACACAUGCAAGUCGAACGAGACCUUCGGGUUUAGUGGCGCAAGGGUGCGUAACGCGUGGGAACCUGCCCUUAGGUUCGGAAUAACUUCCCGAAAGGGGUGCUAAUACCGGCUAAUGUCCUCGGACCAAAGAGUUAUGGCCUUUGGAUGGGCCCGCGUUGGAUUAGCUGGUUGGUAGGGUAAAGGCCUACCAAGGCGACGAUCCGUAGCUGGUCUGAGAGGAUGAUCAGCCACACUGGGACUGAGACACGGCCGCGACUCCUACGAGAGGCAGCAGUGGGGAAUAUUGGAGCAGGGGCGAAGGCCUGAUGAAGCAAUGCUGCGUGAGUGAUGAAGGCCUUGGGGUUGUAAAGCUCUUUUAGCCGGGAUGAUAAUGACGGUACCGGGAGAAUAAGCACCGGCUAACUCCGUG